CCCUAAACUUUUAAUUAAUGAUGAUUUCAUCCUUAGGGUCAGGAAAAUAAAAUUCUUACAAUUUAAUCCUUAUUUCUAGAUAUUAUUCUCAUACAUAUUGAUAACAAUCCAUGAAUUCUAUAAAAUAUCAGAAUUUUCCAUAAUUUCAACACUUUUCAAUUUAAUCCCUAAAACAUGUUUUCCCCCGAUCUUGAACUAAAUUAAUAAUUUCAUUCAAUUUUGUAAUUUAAAUAAUAAAAUAAUCCAUUUCAUGCAAUUUGGUCAUUUAUGAAAUUUUUACAAAAUUACCCAUAAAGUUUUACUUUUAUUCAAUUUAGUCCCUGAGCCUAAAACAUGCAAAUUAGCCAUGCUAGAUGAAUAUUCAUACAUACUUUUCCUUCUCCUCCUCUCCAUUCCACAUCCUUAGUGUAUAUAACACACUUGUAAGUAACAUUAUCUAUAAUUUUUAUUAUUUACUUUUAUGAAUAUUUAAGCUGUCCAUCUGUGUCAUAGUCACUAAAUUAUUUAUAACUCGAGAUAAGGAACUCAAAAUUAAGAUCUGUUAAUUUUUCCUGAAACUAGACUCAUAUAUAUUCUUACCAUAAAAUUUUCAGAAUUUUUAGUUUAGCCAUUAGGUACAGUUUAUUCUUUAAAUUCACCCCUAUUCUGCUGUCUGACAGUUCCGACCCUUCUUCACUAAAAAUUAAUUAUCUCAUAGUAAAUAACUCGGAUAAUAUUCCCAUUGAUUUCUCCUGAAAAUAGACUCAUUAUGAAUUCUAAAAAUAUAACUUUAAGCCUCUAAUUAUUUUUAUUCAAUUUUUGGUGAUUUUUCAAAGUCAGAACAGGGGAACCCGAAUUCAUUCUGACCUUGUCUCACAAAAUUUAUUAUAUCUCAUAAUUUAAAAUUCAAUUUCUUACACAGUUUCUUCUAUAAGAAACUAGACUUAAUAAGCUUUAAUUUCAUAUUUUAUUAAUUCUCUAAUUAAAUUUAUACAAUUUUUGGUGAUUUUUCAAAGUUAGACUACUGCUGCUGUCCAAAAUAGUCUUAGUGCAAAAUGUUGAUUUUCUACUUUUAAUUUCAAUUUAAUCCUAACUAAAUUCACUUACUUUUCCAUCUUAAUUCAUACUUUAUUUCUACUCAAUUUUUAACUAAACUCAUAUUUAACUAUUAAAUUUCCAGCAUAUUUUCCUAAUUUUGAAAUUUCAUCAAUUUAGUCCCCACAACAUAAAACUUAUGAAUUAAUUUACAAUUCAAUCCUUAUUUCAUUUCUAACUUGAAUUCCUAUCAAUCUAACCCCUAAUUCAUCUUUUUAUUCAACAUGAAAAAUAUUUAAAAAUCUAAUAACCUUCAAGAUAUUCACUUAAUUUCAUCAAAACCUUGUCCCAAAGCUUCCAAAACAUCAAAAUUAAGUAAAAAAAAGGCUAAAUUGACUUACCUAUUUAACUUUCAAGCCUUGAAAUCCCAAUUUUUCUCUUUUUCCUUCUUUCUUUUUUUCCUUCCCCCUGCUUUCUGUUUCGUUUCAUCCUUUCUUU
rnacentral:lncRNA from 1 species